rnacentral:antisense_RNA from 2 species
GUCUAUGGCGGGCCGUGCGGGCAACCUUCGGGUUGGCCGGUUUUCCUAUUUUCUCCGGUAUUGCUACCCCGUACAGCCCGUCGCCUUU